AUUGAACGCUGGCGGCAUGCUUUACACAUGCAAGUCGAACGGUAACAGGCCGCAAGGUGCUGACGAGUGGCGAACGGGUGAGUAAUGCAUCGGAACGUGCCCAGUCGUGGGGGAUAACUACUCGAAAGAGUAGCUAAUACCGCAUACGAUCUAUGGAUGAAAGCGGGGGACCGUAAGGCCUCGCGCGAUUGGAGCGGCCGAUGUCAGAUUAGGUAGUUGGUGGGGUAAAGGCCCACCAAGCCAACGAUCUGUAGCUGGUCUGAGAGGACGACCAGCCACACUGGGACUGAGACACGGCCCAGACUCCUACGGGAGGCAGCAGUGGGGAAUUUUGGACAAUGGGCGCAAGCCUGAUCCAGCAAUGCCGCGUGCAGGAAGAAGGCCUUCGGGUUGUAAACUGCUUUUGUACGGAACGAAACGGCUCUGGUUAAUACCCGGGGCUAAUGACGGUACCGUAAGAAUAGGCACCGGCUAACUACGUG
rnacentral:rRNA from 1 species